rnacentral:lncRNA from 1 species
CUCACACUAGGGAAUCUCAAAUUUCUCAAAUAUGCCUUGCUUUAAACAUCUAUUUUUAAGCAAAUACAAACAGACUUCCCAGUUAUUUCAAAGGAUGCUCACCUAGGAUAGAUAAUGGCAGAAUUCUUCUCUUCAGGAAAUCCAUGUUAGAAUCUUGGCUCUCUCUACCUAGAGCAUCCAGGAAAGGAUGUACCUUCAAGAACUCACUCAGUUUGGCCAUGGAAAUAAGUUUUGACCUAAAUGUGUAAGCAGCAGUGGUAGGCCCAACAUCCAGGAAGUUUCCUUCAAAAAAGCAAGUCCUUUUCUUCUUGCUGAGUGGAAUGAAGACAGAGUUGGAAAGCCAUUUUGGACCAUUAAAUGAACUUGGGAAUGUAGGUCACAUAUGAAGGAAUAAUGAGAUAGAAAGAGCAAGAGUCUUUGAUACGAUGGAGCAUCAAACCUGCCCUGGAUCUCUCCGAACUUUUACAUCUAUUGUGUUUGAGCCAGUUUCAUUUUUGAUUAUCUGUUACUUGCAGCUGAACCUGAUCUUAACCCUUACAUGUCUUUAACAAAGCAGAAAAUUUUAAUUUUAAUGAAGUCAACCUCAUCAAUUCUUCGUUUCAUGGAUUGGAUCUUUGGUGUCAUGUCUAAAAUGUCGUCACCAAACCCAAGGACUGGAGGCCAGCCUAAGGAGUUGUUCCAAACUGAAAGAUGAAGAAUUGUAGCAGCCUUGACUACAUGACUGCCAGAACAGGAGGAAAAUACUCCUCUAUGUCUUACCUCUCUUGGACAGAAAAUGGAAGAAGCAACUGUGUAAAAGGAUCAUUUAUGGGGAGAAGGCAAUGAAUGUGUAUAUGGGAGAAAAGCAUGGACUUGGAGGAGCUGGAGUGGUGAAGGAUGAAGAGACGGCAAUGCAUGGGUUUAGAGGAGCCUCCCAGCAGGACCAUCCCUGCGCUCUCUCUAACCUUGCAUAGGAAAAAUGAGGAGCAUGACUGGGUCUGUGGAAGCAGGGUAAGACGUUGCUUGCAUGUCUCCCUGGGAUCUGAGUUUGACCUCUUCUGGAGAGAGGAGUAUUUCAUGAGGAUUUCAUCACUGCCCACCUUAGCUAAAUUUCAAGUCAGCGAGCAUUAUGGAAGUAGUGGGAGGGAAAGAAGGAAGAAACCUGUCACACCAGAGAUUUGGCUUCUUGGAUGUGUUAGCUGGCACCCACAGAUCCACUGUGAAGGAGCUAAACUCAUCAUUAGCCUAAUCUAUGACAUGUGGUAUUCUGCUUAAAAUAAACUUGUUUUCAUGUCUCUACAUUUCAAUUUUCUUCUCUAUUAGGUUUCUAUGGUAUCUUAUUGUAUUCACUCUUUGUAUUACAAAGUCUUUUGUGGAGAAAAAUUAAAAGGCUGUGAAUAUUGUUAACAAAAGGGAAAACGAUGAAGUAUGAGAUCUCACGUUUAUUGAGCACUUGCCACGUGUAAGGUAUUUUAGUUUAUUUUUUUUUUGCUGAGGAGGAUUAGCCCUGAGCUAACCUCUGUUGCCAAUCUUCCUCCACUUUGUAUGUGGGAUGCCUCCACAGCAUGGCUGAUGAGUGGAGUAGGUCUGUGUCCAAGAUCCAAACCCCUGAACCCAGGCCACCGCACACGGAACUUUAACCAGCCACAGGGCUGGCCCCCACAUGUGAGGUAUUUUCCUAACUGCUUCACAGUAUUCUAGCGUUGACUAGUUACAACAGCCUUACAAGGUGGGCAGUAUUAUCAUUCCCAUUUGACAGAUGUGGAAACAGAAGUGCAGAGAAGUUAAGUAAUGUGUGCAGGGUUGUGGAGUGAGGAGAAGCAUAGGGUCUGAACUUCUUAACGAGUUCUGUUAACAUUACUAUCCUGAUUCAUUAACAUGUCCUCUCCAACAAAUUCAAAGAUGCUCCCAGAGCAGGUACUUGGGUUUAUUACUAGUACAUAGUGAGAACUGACCUUAGUCAAUAACUCAGCCACAUUCUCUAAUUGCAUUUUUUUUUUUAAACAUGAGCCACAUAUUUCUAUUCUUCCAAAGUGGUAUUUUAUUUUUUUAUUAUUUUUUUAAUUGCAGUAACAUUGGAUUAUAACAAUAUAUAGCUUUCAGAUGUACAUCAUGAAAGUGGUGUUUUAAAAUACCACUUAAAUAUAGUUAACUGUGCUUGUUGCAUUUAAAUUAUAGCACGAUUCUUUCCUGGGAAUAUAAAUUCAGAAAUACGAUGUGAGGAUGACAGAAGUCUCAGGCUAGAAUGCAAUAACAUGAUUAAGCUCUGUUUAAAUACUUGUUUCACUGUUAGGUUUGAGUGUCCAGUUUACACUACAUGCAUAUGCAAGAUGGCUGCAUCUUAGGCAAUCUUCUCUUUGUCCAUACUGGAACACAUAAACUUUUAAGGAUGUAGAUGAAAUGGUCAAGGAUUUUUUUUUUCUGCUUUCAUGUUUUAUGAAGCAAUUCAAAAUUCUUUGAUGUAGAAAAUCCAAAAUCCAUGAACUAAAUUGUUUACUUGAACCUGUGGUAAGUAUUUUUGUCAUCCCAAGAACCACUUCAAGUUUUCUUACAUAUUCUCAGAGGACACAUUCUUCAUUUCAAUCUGUGUUGUUUGAGAUAUCACUAGAAAUUUUAUCCUAAGCCAGGAAUACUUUCAAAAAUCAUUUGCAUAACACUAGCACAAUAAUUUCAGUCGUUGUGUAAAUCUGGACUUUUUACCUUCACCCACUUGACCAUAUUGCAUUUUAAAAUAAUACUUGAAAGGCUUGUUUACAGUGAUAAACAAAACCUACCACUGUGAAAUAUACCAUAGGAAUAACCACUACAUGACAC